GCUAUAGCUCAGCUGGGAGAGCGCAACACUGGCAGUGUUGAGGUCAGCGGUUCGAUCCCGCUUAGC
rnacentral:tRNA from 1 species